rnacentral:rRNA from 1 species
CCCCGUAAGUCUAAGUAUUCCUGGGCGACCGAUAGUGAACGAGUACCGUGAGGGAAAGGUGAAAAGCACCCCGGGAGGGGAGUGAAAUAGUACCUGAAACCGUUGGUUUACAAACAGUCAAAGAGUCGUCACGCAAGUGGCCUCGAUGGCGUGCCUUUUGAAGAAUGAGCCUGCGAGUGACGGUAUGUGGCAAGGUUAACCAGUGAUGGGGAGCCGAAGCGAAAGCGAGUCUGAAUAGGGCGUUGAGUCGCAUGCUGUCGACCCGAAGCCAAGUGAUCUAUCCAUGGCCAGGUUGAAGCGGGGGUAAGACCCCGUGGAGGACCGAACACACGUCAGUUGAAAAUGGCGGUGAUGAGCUGUGGAUAGGGGUGAAAGGCCAAACAAACUUGGUGAUAGCUGGUUCUCCUCGAAAUGUAUUUAGGUACAGCGUCGUGCGUUCAGUCUCGGAGGUAGAGCACUGGAUGGGCUAGGGGGC